CCUACGGGAGGCAGCAGUGAGGAAUCUUGGUCAAUGGCCGAGAGGCUGAACCAGCCAAGUCGCGUGAGGGAAGACGGCCCUACGGGUUGUAAACCUCUUUUGUCGGGGAGCAAAACGAGUCACGUGUGACUCAUUGAGAGUACCCGAAGAAAAAGCAUCGUCUAACUCCGUGCCAUCAGCCGCGGUAAUACGGGGGAUGCGAGCGGUACCCGGAUUGAUUGGGUUAAAAGGGUGCGCAGGGGGGGGUGCAAGUCAGCGGUAAAAUUGCGGGGCUCAACCCCGUACGGCCGUUGAAACUGCAGCCCUUGAGUGCGCGAGAAGAGAGCGGAAUGCGAGGUGUAGCGGUGAAAUGCAUAGAUAUCACGCAGAACUCCGGUGGCGAAGGCAGCAUACCGGCGCGCAACUGACGCUCAUGCACGAAAGCGUGGGUAUCGAACAGGAUUAGAUACCCGUGUAGUC
rnacentral:rRNA from 1 species